GUUUUCGUGCCUCUGUGCUGUUUCCUGGGCUUCGUCUAAUUGCCAGCCAUGUCAUGCACCACCACUGACAAGUGGAACAAUGAAAGUGUUUCUAUGGAGCUGAAACGGAAGCUGAUGACCACCAAGUCUUUGUGCCCCCGGCCUACUGUGAGGGUGUUGCAUUUGAGGAGUCACCAGAUGACCACAGCUUCUUCGACAGGUUCCAUGACUGAAAAACAGAAGAUGACAUAUGACCAUAGAUAUCUAUGUUUUUGUCUUUUACGACUUUGUGUCUUCAUUCUAAUAAA